rnacentral:lncRNA from 1 species
GUCCAGCUCCUUUAUGUAAAAUUGCUUCUAUCAUUGAUGGCAGAUAUUAUACAUGUAAAACAGCAAUUUCCUUGAAGAUAUAAUGGCCUUACAGAAAACACCUUUGUUUUGAUGGCCUGCAGACACACUUAAGAUUUGGCACCUAAAGCAUAGGUUUAUUGAGGUACUGUGCUAUUAACUGUGACAGUAAUACUAGGGAGGAGUGCGACCUAGAUAUUUCUGCCGAAUUUUUGUCUGCAGUGCAUUUAGGAAGGUACUUACAGCCUGAAGAUGAUUCACACACAGACACAAGGACACGUCCAUUUUAUGUAAAGUGUUAAAACAACAGUUCCUAUAAUUUGCACAUUCUUUGGGAUGGCUGACAUGAUAUCUUGUAUACUGGAGAUGAUCCCUGUCAGCUGAUCUUUCACAUGGCAGAUUGCUGAGGAAACAGAUACAUGUUACAGGCUUAGUGCCAGGAUCAAUUUCUGUGAAAGAAGGCAUGAAGAAACUGCAGACAGGCUUUGAGAAAAUUUGUGGGUUCCAUGCUGUUCCGUGGUUUAUUUAGAUACAGAAAAUGGACAACUGGUAUGAUAAUU